UCCUCUUAAAAGUUGUAGAAGCGCAUGUGAUGCUAGCGCCACCAGCUGCUCUGCCUAUUUAAAAGUGUCGCGAACGCCGGCUGGCCACAGCAGCGCGCACCAUGUCGGAGCAGCAGCAGCAGCAGCAGGCGGGACCGCAGCAGUACAGAUGUAAGUUUCAUGUAACUUCACACACUGUCCUAAAAAAUGUGCGGUUGUAUCUCUUUGUCAUGUCAUGGUGUCAUAUUUGCCCAAGUAAUCAUUUUAUGAGCAAAUAUGUGGCGACAUCAUGGAGGUAAAGCUCACUUAUUCCAUCAUUAAACUGCACAGCUGCAGUACUACAGCCAGGCCCGCAGAUGAGGAGCUUCAGUUACCACUGUCUGCACGGGCGCAGUACCUACUCUCUGCCUGCGGGGGUCGUCUUUCCCCACCGCUCGUCUAGUGUGUCCGAAUUGGGCCAACGUUUUUAGUAUGUAGGAGUAGGAUCUAGCAGUAGCACGUAGCAGUAGCAUGUAGUAUCCGAACGGG
rnacentral:lncRNA from 1 species